rnacentral:lncRNA from 1 species
AGAGACUCUGACAAGAGUCAGGGAAGGAGUUGCUUUUCCAUUACCUCUGGCUGAGCAAAAGAAGUUCUUGCCCCCCUGAAGAUUUCUGCUGAUUUAAACUCACUUAGGGGAAAGUCAAACCAUUUCUCUGAAGUGAUUUUGUGACAAAAAGCCAACAGUUGAUAGGAAAAGGUCAUUAGGGAUUUCCCAUCUCUUCCCUCAACCCCUUUUUCCUUUUACCUUUCAUUACAAAAGACUGUUCUCUCAAAGUUUGUAAUAGGAGGGAGAAUUUCAAAGGCAAAGAAGAAAAUUUGACUCACCAGUCUGGUCAGGUCCAGUCCAUAAGUCAUUUAACCUUAGUGAAGGAAGGAGAAAGGUGCCCAUAAUGAAAGCAUGAAAGGACAACUGCUAGAAGGCCAUGUUGCUGCUGCCAAUGCAGCCUCCUGCUGUUAACUCCCUGGGUUGCCCCAGUCAUCCACUCCUAAUCUACCUGACUUCAUGAUCGUCCUGCUCCUCCUGCUCCUCUUGCUGAUUGCUGCUGCCAAGUCUUUAGAACACAUAAGCUGGAAGUCCUUGGAGCCACUCUCCAGAUUAGGAAACUGAAGCAAACAUUUACUGACUUGCUCAAGAUCACACAACUAGGACUGUGGUGUAAAGGGGAAGAGGACUGUGCCACCACAUUUUGGAUG